rnacentral:rRNA from 1 species
CGUCAAAUCAUCAUGCCCUUUAUGUCCCGGGCUACACACGUACUACAAUGGCGUUAAACAAUGAGCAGCGAACCCGCGAGGGGGAGCGAAUCUCCAAAAGGCGCCUCAGUUCAGAUUGCAGGCUGCAACUCGCCUGCAUGAAGUUGGAAUUGCUAGUAAUCGCGAAUCAGCAUGUCGCGGUGAAUACGUUCCCGGGCCUU